rnacentral:lncRNA from 1 species
CUCAGUUGUUUUAGAUGUACCUUACGGCUCCCUCUCUAACCUCUCUAUCUCACACUCUCUGUCUCUCUCUCUCUCUCUCUGUCUUCGUUCUUCUUCUUUGUUCACACUAUUCAUUUUCCGCUCGUUUUAAUCUGAGUUCCUUCACUUGGGGUGGUCGAUAUUUAUCUUAUUUUGUGUGCAUUUAAAACUUAUUUUCUUUGUGGAACCCCUUUAAUGUCAUGUGUUAUC